CCAAACAUUCUAUGUUCUGCUAUAACCCAGAUGCAGUAUCACCUUAUCGUGCCCUUAAUUCUUGUCUAUUUCCGAUAGAAAUUAGAUACUCUAGUAGCCUGAUGCAUCAUCCAUUUAUAAUAACACUACAAACUGCACUGUAUGUGUUUAGUUAUGAAGCAUGAAACCUGACAAGAAAAAUACAAAGAUUGCCCAAAAGAAAAAUAAUAGUAUUUAGUUCAAACUGAGGACCAUUUUCCCCAUUCUGAACCUAUGUCUUCCUGACCCAAGCAUCAAACGAAACAUAGCAGUGUCAUCUCAUGGAAAAAAGUUGACAAGAAUAACACCCGGUGUUUCCACAUUUCUGAUUCCUUGAGAAAAGAGAACUUGAUCGAUCUCUCCAAUUUGCCGUUGCAUUUAUUCCGUGCACUCUAGUAGAGUAGAAACUUGUUCAUCUUGUCGACGAAAUUGAAUUUCCAUUGCCAGUUAUGUUGGCGGUUCAGCUGCUUCUUCAAGUUGUUUCUGCAAAAAAUAGAGCAAAUGAGGCUCCUAAUUUAUUUCUACAAUUAAGUGAGUGCAGUCUAUACUUGUCAUCAAUUGAUAUGCAGUCCCGUGAAUGGCUGUACUAAAGAAAAAAACAUGAUGUCCUUAUGUGACUAACAGAUAGUGUCACUGCUUGUGCGUAGGAACUCCAAUAUAUACACACAUCAUGCAGCAUUACGAAAUAUCAUAUGAUGAAUUGAAACCAUGCGUAAUUGAACUAGCCUCAUACAUGGAAGACCACAAUAAAGAAAUACACUGUAGUUGAACUAUGGUAGAGUAGAGCAGCGAGAAACUGAGGGUCAAGAGGGGCAGAGCCACAACCUUGUGUGGGGAGUCGUGGUCAGGGCCGUUGGCUUGGGCUUGGGGUCCCGGUCGUCCUCCUCGCCCAUGGAGUCGAGUGCCUGCUGCACCAAAUCAAGCAGGAAAAUAAAUAUCAUAUUAUUCCAAGGUCAGACAUCCAAUCAAGUGGCAAAAGAAAUAAAGAAAGAAGAUAACAUGAAGAUUCUAAGCAAAAGAACAACUUAUUUAUAAAAUCCUCCAUUAAUUUAAUCUAGUUUAGUUUCAACCAAGCAGCAACUAGAUCAUGGUUUAGUAUUUAUUUAUCCUGGACCAAACUGGUAGAUUUGAUGAACAAUGGCUGAAUAAGAAAACUACUACUACAAGUCCAGUCCCUAGAACCAACAAAUAUUAAGCAUCGAUGGCAUGGUCUGCAAGGGUCAAAGUAAAGAGCAAUUUCUACUGUACCAGAUUAGACUGUUUACUCAAUAAAUAAACCUGAAUUUUAAUCUAUAAGCAAGCAACAUCGAUAUCGUGCAAUAAAAACCUCAAGAGGAGCAACCCGCCGAAAAGAUGCAUUCAGUUUGAUAUAUCAAUGUAAACAGGACAAACAACGCUUAAACAAUGAAAACAAAAGCAAGAAAGAACAAUUGAUGUUGCUGUGGCUUCCAUGUGACUCCAUUUUCGGUUGCGACAGCGACUAGAACAUCUUAGCCAAAGAGGGAUCACAAGUCCAGAACAAAAUAAGAUAACUGCAUUUACACACAAUUCCUAGUUCCUUACCAAACAACAACAAGAAGAUAGUCAGGCCACUUGCAUCGGACCAUAAACUGGCCAGAAUUAAUGCGAUGAUACAGAAAAUGCAGAGGGAGGGGAGUUGUUGUUUAUUACCACCAUUGAUUGUUGUUGCUGUUGUAGUUGAUCAAAAGGGCGACUUGGUUGCUUCCUACUCUCGAUACUGAUCCAGUUCCAACCGACCUCCUGCCUGGAGUUGGACUAGAGGAAUUCCAACUCUACCUACAAACCAGGCAUAUUAAUUGGCAAUAUAUAUUCGAAAAAACAUGUAUCUAUCUAAUUCGCAGCAAGGAAAUCAAUCAACUAAAAGAGAGUCAUGUCCUGAAUAUUAAUUGGUAACCAAGAUCCAACCAGCAAAAUGGUGGCAUGCCAGGAUGCCAAAAACUGUUAGUUCAACAAGGAGAAUAUAUCAAGGGAAAAUCUAAAAAGAAAAAACAAGGCUUGCCGCUGGCCUAUCCACAAAGUACCUGGGAUAGAUAUAUGCUAGCAGCUAGCAUUCUUGCUGGAAUAAUAUUCACAUGUAUGUGCUUGCAAACUAAACCAUACAUUUUCUGCUAGCUGCCAUGAUUAGGGCUCGGGAUUUGAUACUAUUUGCAUCAUCAGGGUGCUGCUAUACAUAUAUAAAUAUAGAAACCAAAUACUCAAUGUUCUUCCAUAACCCAGAUUUACUAUCACCAUAUUGUGCCCUUACUUAUUAUCAUUUUUGAUAGAAACUAGGUAUUAUGACAGUCUAAUGCAUCCAAUGUUUAUAAUGACAUUACAAAUUGUACCAUUAAGCAGCUUAGGAGGACUAUCCUCUGUUCCCGUAACAGAACCGAUGUAAAUUCUUGACUUGCCUCCACCACCUACAUAUGAAGAUUGACUAAUUGUUAGUACAUUACUGACAAAUGCUUCUCUUGGAUAGACGCAUCACUACAUGUGUACAUAAUUAGGACAUACAUAUCACAUUUGUUACUUCAUAGACCCAGACAUAAUCAGAUUUAGCUACAAGGCUUUGAAAGUUGGCAUCCGUGCAAUAAGAAAAAAAUAAAUGAAAAAUAAAAUAUGCCACUCACAAAGGGAAACAUAAUUACAAUUCUAACAGAAGAAUGACACACAUCCCUCUCCUUUGUAAUGCCUCGACCAGGAAAUUGUUACAUGCUACAAAUUUGUGGAUGAUGCACGCACAAGAAUAACCAUAGUUUUAUUUACCUACUGGAAGAGGCCAACCGAUUCAUGGCUGGAUCUGUUUAGUUACCUGCACAUACUAGAAAACCACUGACACAGCUUACCUAUAGCGACCAGAUCUGGAGGUGGGGCAAGGAAGGGGCGACGAGAAACCACUCACAUACCAGAAGCUUACCUCUUGAAUUUUGUAGGCGGGGCGGAGGGAAGGAAAUCAGCCAAAACAGAGGUCGCACGUGGAGACAAAUCAGCAGUGGAUCCUCGGCGGCGGUUGACGGCGCUGCUGCUCCUCGGCGUGGCGGACGGAGCUGCUGCUCCUGGGCGGAUGCUGCCCUGCGGGGAGGGAGGCCAGGGUCGGAGAUGAUGUGGCACGAGGAGACCAGAGGAAGGGCGGCGGCACGCAGAUCAGGGGCGACGGUGCAGUUGAGUUAGGUUUAGGUCGGGGGCGGCGGCGCAAUCGGGUAGAGACAGAGGGAGGGGGAUUGGGGAGUGGACGGGUGUGUUUUUUCUUUUCUUUUGCUGGUCU
rnacentral:lncRNA from 1 species